ensembl:lncRNA
GGGCAACUUCUUGUAGCCAUAGUACAAGGCAAAAUUCCUUGGGGUGGCCUUGUACAGGUAGACCAGCCGUCACUUGGGGUAGGUGUCAGGCUGCCCCAGGAGGAUCUUGGUCGUAGAAGUUCAUCCCAGAUGGAGCACUGGUGCCAAGGGAAGCUGCAAAGGGUGGGUUGAAUAACUGAGUCUGUUAAUAGGGUGAAUACCACAUCCCAUUUCUCACCUCAGUGACUUGAGCAAGAAGUCACCAUGGGGAUGUGCUAUCUGCCAGUUUGAAAGCACACAGAAUGUGAGUGAAUGACACAGUGCUACGCAUUUUGGGGGAUUCCCACCUCACAUGAGGACUGGGAGCAUGUGACCAAAAUAGCUGAUGUUUUCCUUCCAUGUCACGGGUUAUUUCCAAUAGAGAAAUAAAGGACAUGUGAGAAUCGUUUGGGAAUUCUCUUGUGGAGGUGCAGCCAAACUUUGAGCUUUUUACUUGAAUCACCUGAAUUACCCAAACCACCGCACUGCUGGGAAUGGGAUGGCAUCGGUACCGUCAUGUCACACCUGAGUGUUUCCCAGUGUCCUCCCACUGGCGCAUCAGUGGUGAGUUUUCUUUACCUACAUGAAGUCAUUUUGUAUGUGAAAAAACAAUGAAUCACAAAGAGAAGCCCAAAGCAAUUAGAAAUUCCUUUCCUCUUGCCUUUGCCAAAGUGGGAUUUUUUCCCCAGAACAAAGUCCGGGCAAGCCUCCUUACGCACAGCAGUGAUUACGUAGAUUGCUCUGGAUUUUUUCUUUUUUCUUUUUUUUUUUCAUAGACCAUGAGUAAGCAAAGAAGCUCAGAAGAACACUCUACUUCAUGGGUGGUUUGUUAUGCUUCCUUGGAAAUCCCAUUGUGCUGGCAGUGCCUGAAUUGGCUGCAGCUCCGGUGCCCUGUGACGCUGGCUGCCUUCAACCGCACACAUCCAUGUCAGCAGUGCUCCUCAUGUCCCCUCUUCCUUUGCACUGCAUCAGUCCCCAGCAGGCUGGAGCGUGGGGCCAGUGCCUUCCCAGAAGAGGACUGCUGAGACACCACCUGGCUCAUGGUGACAGGAUGGGGCCUGGUGCACAGCAUGAUGCCUCACGCCGAGAAAUCAGGAUCUGCAAGGGGAGAUGGCAGUCUGCGAUGUGACCACUAGGUGGGAACAGAACCGGUGGCAGAAGAUUCAUGUGUUGCAACUAUUCAGGCAUACUGACUAAGGAAAGACUUUUCCUUCUGCUUUUUUGAUUUGAGAUCAUUAGAACCUUUCUAGCUGGGCCUUCUGGCUGCUGAGGGUCUGGAAUACCCUUGGCUGCAGUGUUCUCUUCCCAUUCCAAAACAUGUUAUGAGGGAGAAGGCUCUUGGAGCUGGCUUGGGAUGGGUUUGUGAGCAUCUCUCUCAGUGCUCCCUGGAAGACGACGGCUUGCAUUCCCUCUGCCCAGACUUUCCUGCUGAUGUAAAUCUGAUCAGACCUUCCAACUUUUGACUUUGCUCACAAAAGUGCUCUUGUCUUCCUGGCCAUCUUCUUACAAGGGCUGAAACUUGCUGCCUCUUGCACCACUGUUUUAAAGAUGCUUGUUAUUGGCAUGGGUAGGUUGUUUGGAUUGGGAAAGCCAAAGGUACAUCAGUUUUGUGAGGCACUGAGUCCUCCCAUUUGCUGUUGACUUUAGUAUUGUGUCCUUUUGACAAUAAGAAAUCUUACCAACUUUUCUUGCCCUUGUUUAAACCCUACUCUUUCCUGACUUUCUGACACCUUAUUAUAACUCUUUGGGCUGGUUUCCACUGUCUCCCUCUCAGAAGUGACCUGAUGGUUUACUCGCUUCUUGUUUCGUGCAUCCCAAUGGAGAUCCAUUUACCAUUAGCUAGCUUAUCUGCUAAAAUAAGCCCUGUUUCCCCCUUCUCUGCUUGCCUAAAUGACAGCAGUUCUGGAAGAGGCAGCUAAACUGGCUUUUCUUCCUCAUUCAUGUGUAGCUUAUACAACUACCUCAGUUUCCCGUUAUAAUAAAGAGCAUUGACCAUCAGCCUGAAAAACCA